rnacentral:rRNA from 1 species
AUUGAACGCUGGCGGCAGGCUUAACACGUGCAAGUCGAGCGGAGAGAGGUAGCUUGCUACUGAUCUUAGCGGCGGACGGGUGAGUAAUGCUUAGGAAUCUGCCUAUUAGUGGGGGACAACAUUUCGAAAGGAAUGCUAAUACCGCAUACGUCCUACGGGAGAAAGCAGGGGAUCUUCGGACCUUGCGCUAAUAGAUGAGCCUAAGUCGGAUUAGCUAGUUGGUGGGGUAAAGGCCUACCAAGGCGACGAUCUGUAGCGGGUCUGAGAGGAUGAGCAGCCACACUGGGACUGAGCCACGGCCCAGACUCCUACGGGAGGGCGCAGUGGGGAAUAUUGGGCAAUGGCGGAAGCCUGAUACAGCCAUGCCGCGUGUGUGAAGAAGGCCUUAUGGUUGUAAAGCACUUUAAGCGAGGAGGAGGCUACUUUAGUUAAUACCUAGAGAUAGUGGACGUUACUCGCAGAAUAAGCACCGGCUAACUCUGUGCCAGCCGCCGCCGUAAAAC